UACUGUUUUCUGGCUGGAAUUGAAUUCUGGGUUGAUUGGUCUGGAUUUUAUUGCUGUUUUUUUCUCUGAAUUACUGGGUUAGCAAUUGUUUGAAGCAGGAAGAUCUUAUCAGUUUUGCCUAAUGAUAAAAGCAGUUUAUAUGAGUUCUGUUUCAAUCAUUUCAGGACCACAAGAGUACAAUAAAAGCAAUUUACACGGGUUCUGAAUUUCUGGAGAGUGUUUUUGCUGGUGUUGAAGUUGGUAUAGUGUUUCUGUACUUGGCGUUUUUUGUUCAUACUAGUUCGUAACUGUCCUUUAUGCCUUAACAAGCUUAAAUGAUCAUUUAUUCUGCUGGACUAAUCCUGAAUAUUGAUGCACAGGCUCGAUGCUUAUUUGUUUCGUCGAUUUCAGUUAUUCAGGAUUCACUCCACGAACAUAAACAACGGGUGGACUUGCCAAAAAGUACUUUUCCUUCGGAUAAAGAGAGAAGACAUUUCUACCUUAGGUUAAAGAGAGAGAGAGAAGACAUUUCUGUAGAGCAUCAGGUUUAAUCCUUAAUGGGCUUAUAUGCUUAUAGAGAUUGAAUGAUCUUAUUUGUUUGUUAUUCUGUUUAAAUCAAACUUGAACUAAAUUUAUUGUUUGUAUUGGUAUUA